rnacentral:rRNA from 1 species
CAAUAGCGUAUAUUAAUUCUGCUGCAGUUGAAAAGCUCGUAGUUGGAUCUUGAAGUGUCAUUGUGAGGGGUUUUGGUCCAUGGGAAAUCCAUGGGUACCAGCUCUCCGGCUUCAUAUGUGAUAGUGGCGUACUCCAUGCCCGGAAGGGAUUGUUGGGGUUGAUGAUUUUGAGUGUCAAAGCUUGGUCAUUGGGGUUGGCUCCUGUCAAAGGGGGUUGGCCAAUGCUCUAUCUUGUUUACUUUGAAAAAAUUAGAGUGUUUAAAGCAGACCGUUAGGGUCAGUGGAUACAUUAGCAUGGGAUAAUAGAAUAGGACAUGAGUCCAUUUUGUUGGUUUUUAUGGAACUCGCGUAAUGAUUAACAGGGACAGUUGGGGUGACUUGUAUUUGGGGGCGAGAGGUGAAAUUCUAUGAUCCCCCAAAGACAAACUACUGCGAAAGCAUUUCACAAACAUGUUUNCAUUAA